UGUAGAUGUCCUGUCUCUGGAGGUGCUCAAGACCAAGUUGGAUGGGGCCCUGGGCUGCAUGUUUUAGUGGCUGGCAACCUUGCCCACGGUGGGGUGUUGGAACUGGAUGAUCUUAAAGGCCCUCCAACCCUGGUCAUUCUAUGAUGUUUGCUCCUAUGUAGCAGAGAGCUUGCAGGUAGUGUCACAUACAUGCAUAAGCUAUUGGAAAUAAUUUUCUGCGACUGAAAGUCACUGUUUUUGCACUGAAAAAUAAGUUCCAAGAAAUAUCAAGUGGAUUCUAGCCAUUUUUCCUUGUGGAUAAAUAGGAAUUGCUCUGUAGCAGGCAAUCAGUCAUCACGGAUAAUGGGACAACAAAGCUGCCUCCUGGACUUUAAUUACUAGUCGUAGAACCACGUUUCUCUCUGUGUAUUUUUUUUAACUGAGCAACAGAGGUAAGUAAAAUUGAAUCAACUUUAAUGCGGGAUUGUAGCAAAGACCAGUAUACUACUGGGAUCACUUAAAGGCCAAUUUGCCUAUUUGAAAGCACUCUGAUUAGAAGUGUAAUGGCAUAGAAUGAGAAAGCUAAUGUGGCAAUCCAUUUGGUUCUUCCUCUCCCAAGGAAAACAAGCUUCUGGAAGAAGUGAAAGAAGAAAAUACCUCAGAGGACACAAAUAAAAGGAGGUCAAGUCCUCAAGCAUCACUGGGUUAGAAAGGAGAUUCGAGACAGACACAGGAAAGGGAACCAGUUUGAAGCUAAAGGAAGGAGACCCCCAGCUCUCUGUGAAGGACAGGCAUGAGCUGGCAUCGAGUCAGAACGUCCUUGUGAAGGUGGGAGAGAACUGGAGUGUGGGGGUUCUUCUGCCUUUGAAACCACCUUUGUGUGAGUAAGAAUUGCAGCUGUCCUGAAGAGGUACGUUGGUGCUUAGCAGAGAUGAGAGCAUGCAGUUUGCAGCUAAACUAGGAGAUGAGUAGGUGUCUGAAUCGUUUUCUGCAUAUAUCCAGGUCAGAAUGGGAAAAGGAGAUUUUCUCCUCUGAUGCCUGUAAGGUCCAGAGGCAGCAUCUACAAAGCACAGGUUAUGUUCAUAUUCAGUAGGGUCCCAUCUGGCCUGGCUGAGGUCUGCCUUUUUCACAUCAACUAUAGCCUCCAUCCUACUUUUCUCCUUGCAGAAUCCCAAUUUCCAAGCUGUUGGGCUGACUGCACAAAGGGAGACGCUGGCUCAGCGUGUUAAGACCACACUGAACAUUUAUAGCAUAGAAUGAAAAAGUAAAGGUGAAAUGUGCAGCCCAGGGCUCUGGGUUCUUUCUUGUGAGCUCCUGGGAAUGGAAUUUUUGCCCAUUGGACUUGAGCUGCUCUAAAAAGCACAGAACAAAAGCUGAUCUUAAAAGUGAUCCGCAAAGGAAUAAAUGGCAGGCACCUCUUUGUUAUUCAUGUAUGGCACUCAAAGAGCACUUGAAAUGGUUGGGAUUUUCAGCGGACAUUUUCUUUAUUUAUUUAUUUUUAUUCUUCUUGGGUUUUGGGGGGGUUGGUGUUUGUGACCCAGGAGCAGAAAUAUAUUAUGGCUGGCUGGGAAACCCAUGCAAUUGGUGACAUCAGGAGACACAUGUGAGUGAAACAGGCCUAAAAGGGAAAAGCCAGGCGUCUGGGACUGCGAUAUUCUCCAAGAGGCAGCCUGGCCUUUGUCUUUUACUUAAUUUUAUUCCUGCCUGCCCUGUGCUCCAUGCCACAUGAUUUAUGCACUGAAUCAUGCUCAGCAGCCGUAUUCACAAGCUGGCACAAAUUUAUUUUUGUCUGCUGGCCAAUUACACCAACUGCCUCAACUGUUGUUUAUUUUCUUCUGUUGCAUCCUCUUGAGUUACCAUUAACAGUGUCGCUUUUGAGUAAAGAUGGGCUUUUUGGCAACAGGGCCUGUCGGCCUGCCAAACUAAUGGACCAUGUAUGUUAUCUAACAAGUCAAAAGGGCUCCAAUUUCAAGACAGCCUGCAGUUGUUGUGGCCACCUGCAGUGCACUGGCAGGGGUGUAGGCCACUGACCGUGUGGGACGUGUCACCCUGGCUCAAGCAUGUCCUUUGGUACAGAUUGCCUUUAGGAGAGGAUGUGUAUGGGCUUUGCUAUGGAGAACAACAGCCGUUCUGUGGCUGAUAGCGUAACACUGGGAUGAAGAGCACCCCACAUGUGGCUGAUCUGGAUGGAGGCUGCUGCAGUCGCCAGAGCAGGACCCAAGCAUGGAUGAUCCUGAGAAACCUACAUAGCGACAGCCCCUGGACUCCCCUGGCUGAGAAGAGAUUAAUUUAAACAGCCUGAAAAGUAGCAAAGGGAAAAGUCGUCUUUCAUGAGAUGGAACUGUGACUGUCACUUUCUGAGGGACAACCCUGUACCAGCUGCCAGAUGGAAGUAAAACUGUCCUUCAAGAGGGUGGCAGUCCUUAAUGGAACAGUCAUGGCUUCAUCCUGCCUGCAGCUGUGGAAAUGCCACCUAUUGGGCCUGCUCCUGGCCUGCAGCCGCUGUGCUUGAGGAAGUCUGCAUGCUGGAGGGGAGGUCCUAGAAAUGCUACUCAAUGAGUCUGCCUUUUGUGACUGCCUGUUGGGUCAACCUCAGCAAGACAAGCCUGGACCCAAUAACAACAGUGUCCCCCUGGUUAAGUCACCUUCCUGCAACAUGGGGAGUUAAAUCCUUUCCAGAUGGCGGAGGAACUUUUAUUUCUCAUAUCAUGGGUGAGCUGCUGCUAGUGAGCAGUACUGUGCAAUGCAGCUUCUAGUGGCUAUUUUCAGCCACGUAUGGUCAAGACCUGGAGAAAUCUCUUCUAGGUCAGAGAAGUGGACUGCUAUUACCUCAGUGGACUCAUUUCCUGAGGACAGUAACAGAAGGAUUGUUGGCCUCCAAACAGAGCACUGCUGGUGUAUAGCCUAAGCAAGCACCCUUUAAACUACAUUUUUGCUUCUGUAAACUGUUUUGGUAACAGAUGAAACCAGUUGGGUUGAUCUACCUUCUGCUAAACCAGUACCUUCAGUGCUACAAAGGCACUCUGUGAUGCACAGGAAUCAGUCCCAUCUUCACCUUCUCCUUGGUCUCUGCCAGCCCUCUCCAUGGACAGGAGAGUAUUUACAUUACCAAACAUUGUAAUGACAAGCAUCUUGGGAUCUUGCAAGACUGUGUUGUUAAAUAAGUCAACAAGUGGUGUAAUGCUUGGCAUGUGGGGAAGAUGAAAGAGAAGCAGGCUUCAAAACAGAUAAUGAAUUUCUUCUAACUCGUCUGGAGACCGAAGAGCCAUAAUUCUGAUUGAUCAGUUAUGGUCUGCUUUGGAGAGGCACCAGAUGUGAUCCAGAUUUUAAAUAGAUGCUGCUACUGUCAACAUUCAUUCGCUCCCUCCUGGUGUAACAAAGUGAAGUCCAUCUGUCUGGAGCUGUGUACUUUUUUUUAGUGGUAAUAACAGUUAACAUCAACAAUACGCUUUGUCUCAUUAGUAUCAAAUAAUCCCUACUACCAAGGCCCUGGUUUCUGGUCCCCAUAUUAUCUGCCAUGGAAAAAAAUAAAGACCACAGCAGGAGCUAAGAAGGUCAGUGCAUUCUCAGGGUAAUCAGCUGUAGUAAAUUCAAUUCUGACAAGAGAAGGCUUGCAAACGUCUAGGGAAUUAAGGGAUCAUCUAUAAUUUCAUAUGUUGAGUGGGAAAGUGUCCUUCCAAACAUUUAUUAAUUACAGAUGAGGAUGCGUAUGGUGGUCGUCCUUGGAGACAUUUCAUCUGAAAGCAAGAAAAACAGGCUUAACUCUUUGCUGCUGCUCCCAAAGAAGAAAAAUACUAGCAUUAGCAUUUGGCUUUGCAAUAGUUUCCACUGGUAUUCCUUCUCUCCCAGUUUUUAUUGCUCUGUCUUAGCCACUGAUGACAGUCACUCAAUCUGAAACUCCUUGCACAAAAGGUUUCCACUGUAAUCAAUAGGGAGGAAUUCCCCUACUUUUAAUCUGGCUCUGUGCCACCUCUCCAUGGUUUGCAGUCCUUAAGAAGUAGCAAAGAAAGAACAAUAGACUAAAUAAUUUUGCAUUUAGAACUGAAUCUUUCACUUGAAGAUCUUGAAGCACUUUAGAAACCUUAAUUACUACCCUUUGAGGUCUGUGCUGUCCUUUCUGUUUUACAGUUGAAGAAAUUAAAGCGCAAGAAGGUUUGAAGCCAACUUCAUCCAAGUUGGGCAGUUGAAGGGUGACAGGAACUGGGACUGGACUCUCCCAUCAUUCCACAGAUAUUUCUGCCCAUUGUGGUACAGAAGAACAUAGGGAUUUUCUUGCAGGAGGUGCAGUGCUGUGUAUCAUGGAAGGAACAGGUAAGGCUCUGACCACCUCUUGUUAUCUUCAUAUGUUCUCUUCAUCUUCAAAUGUGCGUGAAUCCUUUUUGUCAGGAACUGGUGGGACAGACUAAACACUCCUUGUGCUUCUGUUCAGGUCAUCCUUACCGCGCAAUUGCUUUUGUUUUUCUAUCAGAUGUUUUUGCCAAAGGAGCUUUAAUUUUACCAGGGCCUCAUUAAUUCACUGCAAACCUUCUAGAGGUGGUUUUGGGAGGUGCCAGUUCCUGUGUUCAGCAGGAAGUGGGGAGAACAGACGGCUUCCUUUUAAACAUUUAAAACUUGCCACAGUGGCUCUGCAAAUGCAAAUGCUCAUCUCUGCUGAGGAAUAAGACUAAAUAAGGCUCUAACUGACUCUAAGGUGUCCAACAGACUUCGAAACUGAGGGCAGAUUGCCAUGACUUCCCCUCACUAAGAGGGGGCUCAGAUGUUUCUGUAGUGCCCCAUUCUCUUCCCUGUAGGUGCUAGUAGAAAUGGAGAAUGGGAAAGAAUGAGUCCACAAUUUCCCACCCAUUGCUGUCACAGCAUGUCAGAUGUGGGAUGUGGAUAAGAGGUUUUCAUCUGUCAUAUCCCUGGUAUGGCCUCCUCUUCCAAGGAGAAGAGCCCUACCUGUGGGUGAUGUCGGUGCUACGUUACUGACAAAGACUUGUGUUGUCCCCAUUUGAGCAAGUUUCCACAUCCUGGAAGGUUUGUUUGACAUGGAUGGAAAGAAGGAGCUGCAUUCAUGGGUACCAAGUGCUUCAGCCAGGCUACAAAGCCCAUGGUGGAAGAGCCACCUCUACCCUCUGCAGAUAGCCAGAGGGUAGGAUAAGGAUAGAAGAGUCCCAGAAGAAUUAUUUAAAAAAAGAGAAUGAGGUCACAUUACUGAGGAUGAGAUCAAGGAAUAAAAUAAGCAUGUAGGGCAGAAAGGUUGCUGUGCUAAAUGAAUUACAACCACUGAGGAGUGUUAGGAAACAAGGAGAAAGGUGCUAUAAAUACAGUAAAGACAGCAGUGGGCAUAAACCCAUUACCUAAUGAGGAACAGGAGAGGUAGGAGAUGACCUAGAGAAGACCGACAUAUUUAAUGACUUUUGGCCUUAGUUUUUUUUUUUUC